rnacentral:piRNA from 1 species
GCUUCUUUUCCUUUCUCUGAUGUUGAAAUC